rnacentral:rRNA from 1 species
AUACGUAGGGUCCAAGCGUUAAUCGGAAUUACUGGGCGUAAAGCGUGCGCAGGCGGUUUUGUAAGACCGAUGUGAAAUCCCCGGGCUCAACCUGGGAACUGCAUUGGUGACUGCAGGGCUUGAGUGUGUCAGAGGGAGGUGGAAUUCCGCGUGUAGCAGUGAAAUGCGUAGAUAUGCGGAGGAACACCGAUGGCGAAGGCAGCCUCCUGGGAUAACACUGACGCUCAUGCACGAAAGCGUGGGGAGCAAACAGGAUUAGAUACCCUGGUAGUCCACGCCCUAAACGAUGUCUACUAGUUGUCGGGAAUUAAUUGUCUUGGUAACGCAGCUAACGCGUGAAGUAGACCGCCUGGGGAGUACGGUCGCAAGAUUAAA